rnacentral:rRNA from 1 species
UACGAAGGGGGCUAGCGUUGCUCGGAAUCACUGGGCGUAAAGCGCACGUAGGCGGACUCUUAAGUCGGUGGUGAAAUCCUGGAGCUCAACUCCAGAACUGCCUUCGAUACUGGGAGUCUUGAGUCCGGGAGAGGUGAGUGGAACUGCGAGUGUAGAGGUGAAAUUCGUAGAUAUUCGCAAGAACACCAGUGGCGAAGGCGGCUCACUGGCCCGGUACUGACGCUGAGGAGCGAAAGCGUGGGGAGCGAACAGG